rnacentral:rRNA from 1 species
GAUGAACGCUGGCGGCGUGCUUAACACAUGCAAGUCGAACGGAAAGGCCCUGCUUUUGUGGGGUGCUCGAGUGGCGAACGGGUGAGUAACACGUGAGUAACCUGCCCUUGACUUUGGGAUAACUUCAGGAAACUGGGGCUAAUACCGGAUAGGAGCUCCUGCUGCAUGGUGGGGGUUGGAAAGUUUCGGCGGUUGGGGAUGGACUCGCGGCUUAUCAGCUUGUUGGUGGGGUAGUGGCUUACCAAGGCUUUGACGGGUAGCCGGCCUGAGAGGGUGACCGGCCACAUUGGGACUGAGAUACGGACCAGACUCCUACGGGAGGCAGCAGUGGGGAAUAUUGCACAAUGGGCGGAAGCCUGAUGCAGCAACGCCGCGUGCGGGAUGACGGCCUUCGGGUUGUAAACCGCUUUCGCCUGUGACGAAGCGUGAGUGACGGUAAUGGGUAAAGAAGCACCGGCUAACUACGUG